rnacentral:rRNA from 1 species
UACAGAGGGUGCAAGCGUUAAUCGGAAUUACUGGGCGUAAAGCGCGCGUAGGUGGUUCAGUAAGCUGGAAGUGAAAUCCCCGGGCUCAACCUGGGAACUGCUUUCAAAACUGCUGAGCUAGAGUACGGUAGAGGGUGGUGGAAUUUCCUGUGUAGCGGUGAAAUGCGUAGAUAUAGGAAGGAACACCAGUGGCGAAGGCGACCACCUGGACUGAUACUGACACUGAGGUGCGAAAGCGUGGGGAGCAAACAGG